UAUUUAGUAUGUUUGAUUAGCUGUGUCGGCAGAACUUUGAUGGCUUGUUUUUCGACCUGAUGGUUAAUCAUGAUUCAGUUAUGUUACAUUAUUGUUGCUUAGGGGAGUCUGGAAGAGCGUGAUCUGAUACACAAUCUCAGGUUGGGCAGUCCUUUCUUUCUUUAUGGUUCAUUCAGUGUUAGGUGGAACCAUCUCAUUUGGAAGUAUGAUGAUUAUUAUAUUGUUAACCUGUUUCUCAACGAAUUUCCAAAGCAUAGCUGUGUUUAUUAGCAAGUUAUCACGCCUAGGUGUGUUAAUUGUUUUUUUACGCUCUUAGCAAACGCUAUUGAGUUUAUCUUCUUUUCUAACUUCAAUCUAAUAGCAGUUACAGAUUCACAGGGCCUGCAGUCACUUCCAGUUUUAUAUUGAUGAGUUUAUCUUGUUUUCUAACUUCAAUCUAAUAGCAGUCACAGAUUCACAGAGCCUGCAGUCACCUCCAGUUUUGUAUUGUAGGAAGUUAU
rnacentral:lncRNA from 1 species